CAGUCCAGUCACUAUUUUACAUACUUUUCGAUUUUCGCUGCUGUUCAAAAAUGUUUUCUUUUCGCCGUUACCACGAAAAAGCUGCAUAGCCGCUUGAAUCUGAGAGCAGGAGCUCUAGGUUACCAUAGAAACAUAAGUGGUUUGUUGUUAAUUGCUGUCGUGACACUCGCGAUGUCGCGAACAUCACUGAACACGCACUUUAGCGGUUACAAAGGGUGAGAGACCUGGCGAGCCACAUGAUUUUUGUCAAAGAGCCAGGUGUGGCUCACGAGCCAUAGGUUCCCGACCACUGCCCUAAAAGCAUAAUAUCCACCUGUUUCCGCGGGGCGCUACUGUAAAAAAGAACGUGGGUACAACUUCCGGUGAGGCGGCGGAAGUGUGGAAUUAUAUUUGUCUCAAAAAAAAUGAACGUAACUUUAUAAAACUGAACGUAACUUUUUUAGAAACUAUCGAAAAUAUGCCAUUACAAAAGAAGAAAAACACAAUGAAAAUGAAAAAAAUGAACUCAGUCGCACCAAUUUAACAGGCUCUUCAAAUAUUCUUCAUUCUUUGUUAAUGUUUUUUUAAGAUUUGUUUUCGCAAAUCGUGGAUUCGGAAUUCAUUGCCACAGAUUUCGCUUACGCUUCGAAGCUUUCGCUUCACUUCGUUUGCUGUUUUGGCACAAAUCUCUCGUGGGGGCGGGCUUAACAGUAAUCUACUCUCGUUGGAUAGUGAGCUUUUGAUGAACAGGUGCUCUCUGACCUGGAAGUACAGACGUCACUCAGUGGCGCGCAUAUUGGAAAGCUCUCGCGGUGAUUUGUGUGCUUUGUAUUACUAAAUAUGUAAAUAAUAUUAAAACUAAUCACAAUUAGAAGUGCAACUGGAGGGGGGAAAACAAUGUUGUACAUUGUUCCAUUACAAGAUGAGUUUGACCUGUCACCUCUACCAUCUGAUGCCCAGGAGUUUUCUCAAAUGCCUAAAGCAGAAUGUAAGAAAUGCUCCAAAUCUAUGCCACUACAGAUUCUUGCUCUGCACGUAAAGGGAUGCAACACUGCUGAAUAUGAGACGCUUUCUGAUUCAGAACCAGAGCUGACUAAUCUACCUCCUGAUUCACCUGAUUUACCUCCUGUUACUGAAGAAAAGUCCAGUUGGCCUUCUAAGCCCUGAUAUAAUGGAGCCACAAAAAGAAGAAAUGUCAUGUGAAGAGGAUGUACUGCGAUGGCUUGCUGCUCAAGUUGACACCUCCAAAGAAUUCAGUAUCUGUGUGUCUAGAAUGAACCUCUUAGAAAGAGGUAUGUCACUGUGGAAGCGACAAAAGCUUAGCUCCCCAAUCCACACUUUAAAGAUGACAUUCAUGGGAGAGGCUGGAGUCAACACAGGCACUCUCUGUAAAGAAUUCCUGAGAGAAAUGAUUAGUAGCAUAGAGACACGGCUCUUUGAAGGAGAAGAUGGUCAAGGAAAAAUGCCUAAGUACUCAUUAAAUGACCUUGACAAUGGCCUGUUUCGAGUUGCUGGGGAAAUAUUUGCCUUAAGUCUCACACAAGGUGGUCCAGCUCCACGAUUUCUACAGGAGUGGUGUUACAAUUACCUAUUAAGUGGAAACCUUGAAAACAUCAUGAUGGAUAAUGUUAAUGACAUGGAAUUUUCACCACUGAUAAAAAUGGCAUAUCUGAAAACAAUUUGUAAUUAUGUAGUUUUCUAUUGCCAUGCACCUUUUAUGAAUGUUUCAAGAAAAUCUAAAAUUCUUUCUAGAUCAAGGAGACUUCAGACCUGUCGAAUUACUGUGAGCAAAUUACGAGCUGUGCCCUAUAAAUGACCAAAACAAGGAGAAUAUAAAGAGGGCAAUUGCAAUGCAUGCCACUGCUCGAAGAACUCUUAUGCUUCAGCAGCUCCGUGAGGGCCUCCAACUUUACCGUCUAGUGGACAUCAUGGAGAAGAACAAAGAAGUGUGCCGUGGUCUCUUUGUUUUUGAAGGUGGCAAUGAUCAGGUGGACUCUCAUUACAUUGUGUCACAUCUUGACCCACAAAUGAGUGAGAGUGGCACUCUAAAGCACAGCAAAGAAAUGCAAAUCUUGAAUAACUUCAAGGAUUUCCUAAUGGAACUUGAAGGUAAGUUUGUGGUUACUCAAAUGUUUAGGCAAUGUCUAUUUGUAGAUACUUUAAAUACAUUUAUGUAUGUUUACUGCCCUAGAUGGAGAUUCUGAGGAUGAGGAGGCACUUUCUGUGUCAAAAGUAAUGCAGUGGCUGUCUGGUCAAGCACACAGACAUCUGCUUCUUUCAGAGAGGCAAGCUUUUAAAAUCACUGUUCUGUUUGACCAUACAUGCAUGGAAUGUAUGCCAGACCACAGAAUUUGCUACCCUGUUGUCAGUGCAUGCACCCAGACAAUCACAUUUCCCACUGCACAUUUAACAAGUUUAAAUGAAUUAAAAAAAAAAAACAUGAAAAUUGCAGUGCAACAGGGAGCUUACUUUUACAGGGUUUACAACAGAUUUGUUAAUACACUCUUACGUCCUUUUAAUUGUUUAAUUUGUAAGUUUUUUAAUGUUAGAAGUCAAAUGUUAGUAAAGCACAGUCUUUGAAUAAUAUCAAGUGACUGGACAUAGAGCUCUCUGUAGUUCAGUGAUGAUGUCAGGGGAUCAAUUAAUCCCUGCAGAACAGCAAGGCUCUGUUCAGAUAAAGGGCAUUGGAUCUCUGGAACCACCACACCAUCUUCUGGGUCAGUAUCAGAAGUUUGCUGUUGACACAGUUGCUCGAUUAUCUGCAAAAUCAAAGAAACAUUAAGUAGGUCAAAAUGCCAACUGUUUUGAAAUAUUGUCAAUGACUUGUAUCCAUGUUGUUAUAAACUCAUGUAACUUU